rnacentral:rRNA from 1 species
GAUGAACGCUGGCGGCGUGCUUAACACAUGCAAGUCGAACGGAAAGGCCCAAGCUUGCUUGGGUACUCGAGUGGCGAACGGGUGAGUAACACGUGGGUGAUCUGCCCUGCACUUCGGGAUAAGCCUGGGAAACUGGGUCUAAUACCGGAUAGGACCACUUCUUGGAUGUUGUGGUGGAAAGUUUUUUCGGUGUGGGAUGAGCUCGCGGCCUAUCAGCUUGUUGGUGGGGUAAUUGCCUACCAAGGCGUCGACGGGUAGCCGGCCUGAGAGGGUGUACGGCAAAAUUGGGAAUGAGAUACGGCCAAGACCCCGAAGGGGGGGAGAAGGGGGGAAGAUGGCAAAAGGGGCGCAAGCCGGAUGCAGGGACGGCGGGUGGGGGAGGAGGGCCUUGGGGUGGUAAACUCCUUUCGCAAGGGAAGAAGGGUUUUGGGACGGUACCUGGAGAAGAAGCACCGGCUAACUAAGU